rnacentral:rRNA from 1 species
UACGUAGGGGGCUAGCGUUGUCCGGAAUCAUUGGGCGUAAAGAGCGUGUAGGCGGCUUGGUAAGUCCGCUGUGAAAGUCCAGGGCUCAACCCUGGAAUGCCAGUGGAUACUGUCAAGCUAGAGUCCGGAAGAGGCGAGUGGAAUUCCCGGUGUAGCGGUGAAAUGCGCAGAUAUCGGGAAGAACACCCGUGGCGAAGGCGGCACUCUGGGACGGUACUGACGCUGAGACGCGAAAGCGUGGGGAGCGAACAGG